rnacentral:rRNA from 1 species
GACGAACGCUGGCGGCGUGCUUAACACAUGCAAGUCGAACGGAAAGGCCCUGCUUUUGUGGGGUGCUCGAGUGGCGAACGGGUGAGUAACACGUGAGUAACCUGCCCUUGACUUUGGGAUAACUUCAGGAAACUGGGGCUAAUACCGGAUAGGAGCUCCUGCUGCAUGGUGGGGGUUGGAAAGUUUCGGCGGUUGGGGAUGGACUCGCGGCUUAUCAGCUUGUUGGUGGGGUAGUGGCUUACCAAGGCUUUGACGGGUAGCCGGCCUGAGAGGGUGACCGGCCACAUUGGGACUGAGAUACGGCCCAGACUCCUACGGGAGGCAGCAGUGGGGAAUAUUGCACAAUGGGCGGAAGCCUGAUGCAGCAACGCCGCGUGCGGGAUGACGGCCUUCGGGUUGUAAACCGCUUUCGCCUGUGACGAAGCGUGAGUGACGGUAAUGGGUAAAGAAGUACCGGCUAACUACG